UACGUAGGGGGCAAGCGUUGUCCGGAAUUAUUGGGCGUAAAGCGCGCGCAGGCGGUUCUUUAAGUCUGGUGUCUAAGUGCGGGGCUCAACCCCGUGAUGCACUGGAAACUGGGGAACUUGAGUGCAGAAGAGGAGAGCGGAAUUCCACGUGUAGCGGUGAAAUGCGUAGAGAUCCGGAGGAACACCAGUGGCGCAGGCGGACUCGUCUGGGUCGGCCCUGACGCUGAGGCGCGAAAGCGUGGGAGCGAACGGG
rnacentral:rRNA from 1 species